GGGAAAGUGGCUUGGUGGUAGAGUGCUUGCCUUGCAUGCAUGAGACCCUGGGUUCGAUUCCCCAGCACCA
rnacentral:tRNA from 1 species